AUGUAAGUCGAGCGGAUGAUGAGGAGCUUGCUCCUCUGAUUUAGCGGCGGACGGGUGAGUAACACGUGGGUAACCUGCCUGUAAGACUGGGAUAACUCCGGGAAACCGGAGCUAAUACCGGAUAAUACUUUGAAUCGCAUGUUUCAUUUUUGAAAGACGGUUUCGGCUGACACUUACAGAUGGGCCCGCGGCGCAUUAGCUAGUUGGUGAGGUAACGGCUCACCAAGGCGACGAUGCGUAGCCGACCUGAGAGGGUGAUCGGCCACACUGGGACUGAGACACGGCCCAGACUCCUACGGGAGGCAGCAGUAGGGAAUCUUCCGCAAUGGACGAAAGUCUGACCGAGCAACGCCGCGUGAGCGAUGAAGGCCUUCGGGUCGUAAAGCUCUGUUGUUAGAGAAGAACAAGUACGAGAGUAACUGCUCGUACCUUGACGGUACCUGACCAGAAAGCCACGGCUAACUACGUGCCAGCAGCCGCGGUAAUACGUAGGUGGCAAGCGUUGUCCGGAAUUAUUGGGCGUAAAGCGCGCGCAGGCGGUCUCUUAAGUCUGAUGUGAAAGCCCACGGCUCAACCGUGGAGGGUCAUUGGAAACUGGGAAACUUGAGUGCAGGAGAGAAAAGUGGAAUUCCACGUGUAGCGGUGAAAUGCGUAGAGAUGUGGAGGAACACCAGUGGCGAAGGCGGCUCUCUGGUCUGUAACUGACGCUGAGGCGCGAAAGCGUGGGGAGCGAACAGGAUUAGAUACCCUGGUAGUCCACGCCGUAAACGAUGAGUGCUAGGUGUUUUGGGGGUUUCCGCCUUUUAGUGCUGCUGCAAACGCAUUAAGCUCUCCCCGUGGAGAGUAACGCCGCGGGGCUGACUCUCAGAAGAAUUGACGGGGGCCCGCACAAGCUGUAGAACGUGUGGUUUAAUUCAAAGCCACGCAGAAAAUCUUACCGGGUCGUGACAUCCUCUGACCACUCUAGAUAUAGGGCUUUCCUCUUCGGGAGACAGAGACACGUGUGGCACGUGUGUGUCCACAUCUCGUGUCGAGAGAUGGGGGGAAACUCCCACAAGAGCAACACUUUGAUUUUAUUCGCCACUUUAAUUGGGCUCUCAAGAGACUGCGGGAGAAACCGGAAGAGGGGGGGGAAGACGAAAAAUCAUCGCCCUUUAACACGGGGUUCAACCUGUGCAACAGGGGGAAAAAAGGGAAAACCGGGGAA
rnacentral:rRNA from 1 species